CAGAGGAGAGCAGAAGCAGUACUAUGGAGGACAAAGCUUGGCUGCAGUUCCAGUGAUGCAGAUGCAGAUGCAGACAGGGACAGCAGUAUGAGCGAGGAAGAUGUCCCCCAAAAGACAAUAUUGAGAAAACAUACGGCAGCUCUUCAGGACUCCAGCUGAGACAGCAGCUUGUUUCUUUCUCCAGAAAGCAGGCCAUACAUUACAAGGCUUGAGAGAUAGAAGAUGACUGCCAGGGGGAGCCAGGCAUUGUGACAAUGAUUUAUUAUAAAUAAUAAAUGUCUAUUUUUAUAUUAUUAUAAAUACAUAAUUUAACUGUAAUUCCUUGUGGUUGAGUUUGUUUUCUCUGAGGUCUCUAACAUUUUUCCCACAUCAUCCCUGGUUUUUAGUAGCCUUUUGCCUGACCUAGACCAAUUUUAGGUGGUACAGUUUUCUCCAGCAGUGCAAAAACAUAUUCUCAAUUUUCAAAGUAUGGAAGUGGUACUAAGCUGUACUCUGGUCUUGCCCUGUAUGCAUUUGUGGUGUCUUGUAAGCCCAUCCAUCCAUUCCCUAUUGCUAUUGUUAAUCAGUUGUAUUAUCUCUCUCUCACUGACAGUGUGGCCUAUGUACGUCAAAACAGCUACUGCAAUUAAUACUUAGCUAGUGUUAUUCGGAUGUGCACCAAGUAUUAGGCACACUGUCAAAACUUAUUGUGGAAUUGCUAGUUUAAGUUGCAACCAUGCAUUUUUUUUUAUCAUUAUUAUUUUUACAUCUAAGCAAGAUAAAAGUCUUCAAGGGCUUCUGUACACUCACAAACAAUAGCUGUAAUGUCUGGGAGCACAGUGAUGAGUUCUUCAAAUGAUGGCAUUCUUCUUUAUUGAAAAAAUUCAAAUCAU